AGAGUUUGAUCCUGGCUCAGGAUAAACGCUGGCGGCGCACAUAAGACAUGCAAGUCGAACGGACUUAACCCUUUGUUUACAUUGGGAGCGGUUAGUGGCGGACUGGUGAGUAACACGUAAGCAACCUGCCUAUUAGAGGGGAAUAACAGUGAGAAAUCAUUGCUAAUACCGCAUAUGCUAACAGUAUCGCAUGAUACAGUUAGGAAAGGAGUAAUCCGCUAAUAGAUGGGCUUGCGUCUGAUUAGCUAGUUGGUGGGGUAACGGCCUACCAAGGCGACGAUCAGUAGCCGGACUGAGAGGUUGAACGGCCACAUUGGGACUGAGAUACGGCCCAGACUCCUACGGGAGGCAGCAGUCGGGAAUAUUGCGCAAUGGAGGAAACUCUGACGCAGUGACGCCGCGUAUAGGAAGAAGGUUUUCGGAUCGUAAAGCUCUGUUGUUAGAGAAGAAUGUAGGUAAGAGUAACUGUUUACCUAGUGACGGUAUCUAACCAGAAAGCCACGGCUAACUACGUGCCAGCAGCCGCGGUAAUACGUAGGUGGCAAGCGUUAUCCGGAUUUAUUGGGCGUAAAGCGAACGCAGGCGGUUUUUUAAGUCUGAUGUGAAAGCCUUCGGCUCAACCGAAGAAAUGCAUUGGAAACUGGAUAACUUGAGUGCAGAAGAGGAGAGUGGAACACCAUGUGUAGCGGUGAAAUGCGUAGAUAUAUGGUAGAACACCAGUGGCGAAAGCGGCUCUCUGGUCUGUAACUGACGCUGAGGUUCGAAAGCAUGGGUAGCAAACAGAAUUAGAUACCCUGGUAGUCCAUGCCGUAAACGAUGAGUGCUAAGUGUUGGAAGGGUUUCCGCCCCUUCAGUGCUGCAGCUAACGCAUUAAGCACUCCGCCUGGGGAGUACGACCGCAAGGUUGAAACUCAAAGGAAUUGACGGGGGCCCGCACAAGCGGUGGAGCAUGUGGUUUAUUCGAAGCAACGCGAAGAACCUUACCAGGUCUUGACAUCUUCUGACAAACCUAGAGAUAGGCCGUUCCCUUCGGGGACAGAAUGACAGGUGGUGCAUGGUUGUCGUCAGCUCGUGUCGUGAGAUGUUGGGUUAAGUCCCGCAACGAGCGCAACCCUUAUUAUUAGUUGCCAGCAUUUAGUUGGGCACUCUAAUGAGACUGCCGGUGACAAACCGGAGGAAGGUGGGGAUGACGUCAAAUCAUCAUGCCCCUUAUGACCUGGGCUACACACGUGCUACAAUGGACGGUACAACGAGUUGCGAGACCGCGAGGUUAAGCUAAUCUCUUAAAGCCGUUCUCAGUUCGGAUUGUAGGCUGCAACUCGCCUACAUGAAGUUGGAAUCGCUAGUAAUCGCGGAUCAGAAUGCCGCGGUGAAUACGUUACCGGGCCUUGCACACACCGCCCGUCA
rnacentral:rRNA from 1 species